rnacentral:tRNA from 1 species
GCGACACUAGCUCAGUUGGUAGAGCGCAACCUUGCCAAGGUUGAGGUCACGAGUUCGAACCUCGUGUGUCGCACCA